UGGGGAAUCUUGGACAAUGGGGGCAAGCCCGAUCCAGCCAUGCCGCGUGGGUGAAGAAGGCCUUAGGGUUGUAAAGCCCUUUCAGUCGUGACGGUGAUGACGGUAGCGACAGAAGAAGCCCCGCCUAACUCCGUGCCAGCAGCCCCGGUAAUACGGACGGGGCAAGCGUUGUUCGGAUUUACUGGGCGGAAAGGGCGCGUAGGCGGACGGUCAAGUCAGAGGUGAAAGGCCCGGGCUCAACCUGGGACGUGCCUUUGAAACUGAUUGUCUUGAGUGCGGAAGAGGGUGACGGAAUUCCCAGUGUAGAGGUGAAAUUCGUAGAUAUUGGGAAGAACACCGGUGGCGAAGGCGGUCACCUGGUCCGCAACUGACGCUGAGGCGCGAAAGCGUGGGGAGCAAACAGGAUUAGAUACCCCUGUAGUCC
rnacentral:rRNA from 1 species